rnacentral:rRNA from 1 species
UACGAAGGGGGCUAGCGUUGCUCGGAAUGACUGGGCGUAAAGGGCGCGUAGGCGGUUUGUACAGUCAGGUGUGAAAUUCCCGGGCUCAACCUGGGGGCUGCACUUGAUACGUAUGGACUUUGAGUGAGGAAGAGGGUCGUGGAAUUCCCAGUGUAGAGGUGAAAUUCGUAGAUAUUGGGAGGAACACCAGUGGCGAAGGCGGCUCGCUGGACCGGUUCUGACGCUGAGGCGCGAAAGCGUGGGGAGCAAACGGG